UACAGACUCAACCACACGCACCCAGAUCGGCUCUAGACAAAAUCAAGAGUUUUCUUCUAUGGGAACUGUCACAGGUCCGAAAACAGGCAUCUGUAGCCACAGCCACGUAGCCUACCUUGGGAUUCACAGGUUACCUUCUACCAAGCAUUCUUUAACAGCUCCGCUGCACCAACUUGACCUGGGGUAUGCAUGUGACCUCACGAUGUGCCAUGAAGAUACCCAAGGUGACUAGACCAUGUUUCGAUCCUAUUUCAUGUCUGAUUUGCAUGUAACUAGGACCAUGUGG
rnacentral:lncRNA from 13 species